CCGCCUGGGGAGUACGGCCGCAAGGUUAAAACUCAAAUGAAUUGACGGGGGCCCGCACAAGCGGUGGAGCAUGUGGUUUAAUUCGAUGCAACGCGAAGAACCUUACCUGGUCUUGACAUCCACGGAAGUUUUCAGAGAUGAGAAUGUGCCUUCGGGAACCGUGAGACAGGUGCUGCAUGGCUGUCGUCAGCUCGUGUUGUGAAAUGUUGGGUUAAGUCCCGCAACGAGCGCAACCCUUAUCCUUUGUUGCCAGCGGUCCGGCCGGGAACUCAAAGGAGACUGCCAGUGAUAAACUGGAGGAAGGUGGGGAUGACGUCAAGUCAUCAUGGCCCUUACGACCAGGGCUACACACGUGCUACAAUGGCGCAUACAAAGAGAAGCGACCU
rnacentral:rRNA from 1 species